AACUUUGGAUUCAUCCCAAUGGAGAGCACGAGGUCGCAACCACCACCAACAACGACCAUGGCUAAGAAGGUCACUGCAAAGCACCAGAGAAAGGCCUUUUCUUGGGGAGAAGCAAUCGAUGAAGGAGAAGGCAUUUUCUGGCGGAGGAGCAAUUGAUGACGACCAUGGCUCGUCUUGGAGUCACGAUUGGCCGCAGAGAAGGCGUUCUCCAGUCCAUGGAGAAGCAAUUGGAGAAUCGAUGCCGGCGGAUUCGCAAAACUUUAAGGCUCUUCCUGCUAUUUCGGUGACUCGGCCUAAUAGAUCUUCUUCUCCUGCGUUUCUUGUCCGUGGAGCUACCCAGAGAGAAUAGCAGUUGUGGGGGACCUUAGCUUGACUUACAAGUUACAACACAACUACCACAAUUGGUCACUUGACUAGUAACGAUCCUGAUCUUGUUCUAUUGAUUGGUGAUGUUACUUAUGCAAACCUAUACCUCACAAAUGGAACUGGUUUUGACUGCUAUUCUUGCUUAUUUCCACACUCUCCGAUACACGAGACCUAUCAGCCUCGAUGGGAUUACAGGGGAAGGGCAAUUUGUGUAGGUUUAUGGAUCAUUUAAUUUCUAAAGCUCCAAUAAUGGUGAUAGAAGGGAACCGUGAAAUAGAAGAACAGGUUGAAAAUAAGACAUUUGUGGCUUAUAGUUCUCGGUUUGCAUUCCCAUCUGAAGAAAGUGGAUCCUCAUCCACACUCUACUACUCCUUUAAUGCAGGGGGAUUCAUUUUAUUAUGCUUGGAGUCUACAUUGACUUUACAAGAUCGGGGAAACAAUACAAGUGGCUGGAGCAAGAUUUGGCUAAUGUGGACAGAUCCACAACUCCAUGGCUGGUAGCUACUUGGCAUCCACCCUAGUAUAGUACUUUUGAGGCCCAUUACAGAGAGGCAGAAUGUAUGAGGUGAAUAAAGAGCAACGGAGUUGGUCCUCUAUAGACGGAGUCCGGUGGUGGCCGGUGGCAGUUGGCCUGCGGCCAAAGUUCGGCCGUGGUGGCCGGCGGCAGGUGACUGGCCGGCGGUGGUAGUUAGCUGGAUAUGGACAUGUGGCAUAAUAUGCUUGCCUUAUAAGGAGUGGCAUUCUGUUUAAUUUUGAUAUUUUUCAAUGAUAUUUUUGUAAAAUUAGGUACUACAUUUUGGUAUUCCC